UCUCUUGUAGCUCAGCUGGUAAAGAAUCCACCUGCAAUGUGGAUGACCUAGGUUCAAUCCCUGGGUUGGGAA
rnacentral:tRNA from 1 species